CAGAGGACGCCGAAGUCGGAACUACGCGCGGAGGAACACCAGCCUUCGGAGCGCGCGCGCGCGCGUUGAAAGCUGCGAUCGAGCAGCCAUUUGCCAGCGACGGCACAUUCUUCUACCGUGGUUGAUGUUUCUCACUGCUUUGAACCCCCAAGACUCCACGGACUGCGGCUGCGGUCGUUUCAUUGCCAACUGUGAGGAUGAAGCAGCUUCAUGGCCGGAGAUCGGGCGCCUCCCAUCAGUUUCCCUUUUCAGCAAUAGAGGCCUUGGAGGCCUUUCUACCUGCGUUGCAUCCUGUGGCUA